rfam:Candidatus Peregrinibacteria bacterium RIFCSPLOWO2_02_FTLL_48_14 rifcsplowo2_02_scaffold_69391, whole genome shotgun sequence.
GCCAUCGUAGCUCAGUGGUAGAGCACCACCAUGGUAAGGUGGGGGUCGACGGUUCAAUCCCGUUCGAUGGCU